rnacentral:rRNA from 1 species
UUAAUUGAUUAUGACGUACUUGUACUGAUUGAGAUUUUAACACGAAGUGAGUGGCGAACGGGUGAGUAACACGUGGGUAACCUGCCCAGAAGUAGGGGAUAACACCUGGAAACAGAUGCUAAUACCGUAUAACAGAGAAAACCGCAUGGUUUUCUUUUAAAAGAUGGCUCUGCUAUCACUUCUGGAUGGACCCGCGGCGUAUUAGCUAGUUGGUGAGGUAAAGGCUCACCAAGGCAGUGAUACGUAGCCGACCUGAGAGGGUAAUCGGCCACAUUGGGACUGAGACACGGCCCAGACUCCUACGGGAGGCAGCAGUAGGGAAUCUUCCACAAUGGACGCAAGUCUGAUGGAGCAACGCCGCGUGAGUGAAGAAGGGUUUCGGCUCGUAAAGCUCUGUUGUUAAAGAAGAACGUGGGUAAGAGUAACUGUUUACCCAGUGACGGUAUUUAACCAGAAAGCCACGGCUAACUACGUGCCAGCAGCCGCGGUAAUACGUAGGUGGCAAGCGUUAUCCGGAUUUAUUGGGCGUAAAGCGAGCGCAGGCGGUCUUUUAAGUCUAAUGUGAAAGCCUUCGGCUCAACCGAAGAAGUGCAUUGGAAACUGGGAGACUUGAGUGCAGAAGAGGACAGUGGAACUCCAGGUGUAGCGGUGAAAUGCGUAGAUAUAUGGAAGAACACCAGUGGCGAAGGCGGCUGUCUGGUCUGCAACUGACGCUGAGGCUCGAAAGCAUGGGUAGCGAACAGGAUUAGAUACCCUGGUAGUCCAUGCCGUAAACGAUGAUUACUAAGUGGUUGGAAGGGUUUCCGCCCUUCAGUGCUGCAGCUAACGCAUUAAGUAAUCCGCCUGGGGAGUACGACCGCAAGGUUGAAACUCAAAAGAAUUGACGGGGGCCCGCACAAGCGGUGGAGCAUGUGGUUUAAUUCGAAGCUACGCGAAGAACCUUACCAGGUCUUGACAUCUUCUGACAGUCUAAGAGAUUAGAGGUUCCCUUCGGGGACAGAAUGACAGGUGGUGCAUGGUUGUCGUCAGCUCGUGUCGUGAGAUGUUGGGUUAAGUCCCGCAACGAGCGCAACCCUUAUUACUAGUUGCCAGCAUUAAGUUGGGCACUCUAGUGAGACUGCCGGUGACAAACCGGAGGAAGGUGGGGACGACGUCAAAUCAUCAUGCCCCUUAUGACCUGGGCUACACACGUGCUACAAUGGAUGGUACAACGAGUCGCGAGACCGCGAGGUUAAGCUAAUCUCUUAAAACCAUUCUCAGUUCGGACUGUAGGCUGCAACUCGCCUACACGAAGUCGGAAUCGCUAGUAAUCGCGGAUCAGCAUGCCGCGGUGAAUACGUUCCCGGGCCUUGUACACACCGCCCGUCACACCAUGAGAGUUUGUAACACCCAAAGCCGGUGGGGUAACCUUUUAGGA